rfam:Candidatus Symbiothrix dinenymphae DNA, contig: NODE_39, strain: B4-10h.
ACAAAGAAGAGUUUGAUCCUGGCUCAGGAUGAACGCUAGCGAUAGGCCUAACACAUGCAAGUCGAGGGGCAGCACGGGAGCAAUCCUGGUGGCGACCGGCGCACGGGUGAGUAACACGUAUGCAACCUACCCAUAACUGCGGGAUAGCCCGUCGAAAGACGGAUUAAUACCGCAUAACACAGGGGCUCCGCAUGGAGAUAUUUGUUAAAGAUUUAUUGGUUAUGGAUGGGCAUGCGCAGGAUUAGGUAGUUGGUGAAGGUAACGGCUCACCAAGCCAUCGAUCCUUAGGGGAACUGAGAGGUUAAUCCCCCACACUGGUACUGAGACACGGACCAGACUCCUACGGGAGGCAGCAGUGAGGAAUAUUGGUCAAUGGACGAGAGUCUGAACCAGCCAAAUCGCGUGAAGGAAGACGGUAUUAUGUAUUGUAAACUUCUUUUAUCAGGGAAUAAAGUGCAUCACGUGUGGUGUUUUGUAUGUACCUGAUGAAUAAGCAUCGGCUAACUCCGUGCCAGCAGCCGCGGUAAUACGGAGGAUGCGAGCGUUAUCCGGAUUUAUUGGGUUUAAAGGGUGCGUAGGUGGUUUCUUAAGUCAGCGGUGAAAUCUCGGAGCUUAACUCCGAAACUGCCGUUGAAACUGGGCGACUUGAGAGUGAACGAGGUAGGCGGAAUUUAUAGUGUAGCGGUGAAAUGCUUAGAUAUUAUAAAGAACUCCGAUAGCGCAGGCAGCUUACCAGGCCACAUCUGACACUGAGGCACGAAAGCGUGGGUAUCAAACAGGAUUAGAUACCCUGGUAGUCCACGCAGUAAACGAUGAUUACUCGCUGUUUGCGAUACACAGCAAGCGGCUUAGCGAAAGCGUUAAGUAAUCCACCUGGGGAGUACGCCGGCAACGGUGAAACUCAAAGGAAUUGACGGGGGCCCGCACAAGCGGAGGAACAUGUGGUUUAAUUCGAUGAUACGCGAGGAACCUUACCCGGGCUCGAACGGCUAUAGAAUUUUGGUGAAAGCCAAAAGCCAGCAAUGGCUGUAGUCGAGGUGCUGCAUGGUUGUCGUCAGCUCGUGCCGUGAGGUGUCGGCUUAAGUGCCAUAACGAGCGCAACCCUUAUCAUUAGUUACUAUCAGGUAAAGCUGAGGACUCUAGUGAGACUGCCACCGUAAGGUGAGAGGAAGGUGGGGAUGACGUCAAAUCAGCACGGCCCUUACGUCCGGGGCUACACACGUGUUACAAUGGGGGGGACAGAAGGUUGCUACUUGGCAACAAGAUGCUAAUCCGUAAACCCUCUCCCAGUUCGGACCGGAGUCUGCAACCCGACUCCGCGAAGCUGGAUUCGCUAGUAAUCGCGCAUCAGCCAUGGCGCGGUGAAUACGUUCCCGGGCCUUGUACACACCGCCCGUCAAGCCAUGGAAGCCGAGGGUACCUGAAGUGCGUAACCGCAAGGGGCGUCCUAGGGUAAAAUUGGUAACUGGGGCUAAGUCGUAACAAGGUAGCCGUACCGGAAGGUGCGGCUGGAACACCUCCUUU